rnacentral:rRNA from 1 species
CCUACGGGAGGCAGCAGUGAGGAAUAUUGGUCAAUGGGCGAAAGGCUGAACCAGCCAAGCCGCGUGAAGGACGAAGGAGCUAUGCAUUGUAAACUUCUUUUGUCAAGGGAUAAAGUGAGGAACGAGAGCCUUAUUGUGGGUACCAUAAGAAUAAGCAUCGGCUAACUCCGUGCCAGCAGCCGCGGUAAUACGGAGGAUGCGAGCGUUAUCCGGAUUUAUUGGGUUUAAAGGGUGCGUAGGGGGUUAAUUAAGUCAGCGGUGAAAGUCUGUGGCUAAACCAUCAAAGUGCCGUUGAAACUGGUUGACUUGAGAAGACGUGAGGUAUGCGGAAUGCGCGGUGUAGCGGUGAAAUGCAUAGAUAUUACGCAGAACUCCGAUUGCGAAGGCAGCAUACCAAACUCUAACUGACACUGAAGCACGAAAGCGUGGGGAUCAAACAGGAUUAGAUACCCUAGUAGUC